GAGAAUGAUGUCACUCUUAACCACUGAGC
rnacentral:piRNA from 1 species